AGAGUUUGAUCCUGGCUCAGAAUCAACGCUGGCGGCAUGCCUAACACAUGCAAGUCGAGCGAGAAAGUGUAGCAAUACAUGAGUAAAGCGGCGCACGGGUGAGUAACACGUGGAUAACCUGCCUCAAAGUGGGGAAUAACACCGGGAAACCGGUGCUAAUACCGCAUAUUCUGAUGAGAUCUGUGGAUUUUGUCAGUAAAGGAGCAAUUCGCUAUGAGAGGGGUCCGCGGCUGAUUAGCUAGUUGGUGAGGUAAUGGCUCACCAAGGCAACGAUCAGUAGCCGGUCUGAGAGGACGGUCGGCCACACUGGAACUGAGACACGGUCCAGACUCCUACGGGAGGCAGCAGUGGGGAAUUUUUCGCAAUGGGGGCAACCCUGACGAAGCAAUGCCGCGUGGAUGAUAAAGUAUUUCGGUACGUAAAAUCCUUUCGACGGGGACGAAACCGCAAGGUUGACGGUACCCGUAGAAGAAGCCCCGGCUAACUCCGUGCCAGCAGCCGCGGUA
rnacentral:rRNA from 1 species